rnacentral:rRNA from 1 species
GAGGUAGGUGGUCUCGUUUGUCCGGGGUGAAAUACCUGAGCUUAACUCGGGAAGUGCCUCGGAAACGGCGAGACUAGAGUACUGGAGAGGGUAGCGGAAUUCCCGGUGUAGCGGUGAAAUGCGUAGAGAUCGGGAGGAACACCAGAGGCGAAGGCGGCUACCUGGACAGUCACUGACACUCAACUCCGAAAGCGUGGGGAUCAAACA